GCUAAUCAGUCUCCUAUGGGGAACCUUGUCGAACACCUACCUCAGCAAUCCUUUUAGCUGUGAUUUGCAUAAUGGACCAGUCUCUGGAAAUCUCGUCAACACAUCCAUUAUUGUUAACAAAUAUGAUUACCACGUUUUGUUUUAAGUAGGGGUCCUAUGCAAUUAUUUAAGAUUCUUCAAUGCAGAAAUAGGUAUUAAAGGUGCGGGUUUUAUUACUGCCUGUGAUUUUCCAACUGCCAGACAUGUCAUACAUCCCUGAGCAGUCCAGGCCAGGAAAAAUGUUUUUGUAUUUUAGCUUGAGUUUUUAUUACUCUUAAAUGACCCCCUACUUGUAGCUCAUGUGCCACUCGCAACACCUCCUUUCUACAACCCACUGACAAUACGACUUGAUGAUUUCAUCUGCCUGAGUCUGGUCUCCAUUUUUAAGGUAGCCACCCAAUGCCCUCUUGAAUGCCCAAGCGUGUCAGCCUCCACUACAUUUCCAGUCGAUGAAUUCCAGACUUGAACUACAUGAAUGAAAAAAUUGUUUUUCACAUUAUGUUUGCUGUGUUUGGGCUGACAAGUGCCAAGCAACAUCGACGCCAUGCAGAUCUUUGGCAAUGAUCACCUCCAACAAGAGAGAAGUUAACCAUCACGCUUUGACUUUUAAUGGCAUUACUAUCACUGAAUCCCCCACUAUUAGCAUCUUGGGAGUUACUAUUGACCAGAUCCUGAACUGGACUAGCCAUAUAAAUACUCUGGUUACAAGAGCAUGUUGGAGGCUAGGAAUCCUUUAGCAAUUAACUCAACUCCUGAAUUCUCAAAGACUGUCCAUCUUGCUACAAGGGAUGAGUUACGAAUGCAAAGGAAUGCUGUUCACUUUCCUGGAUGAGUGUAGUUCCAACAACACUCAAGAAGCUUUGCACCAUCCAGGACAAAAUAGUCAAUUUAAAUGAUACUGCGUCCACAACAAACAUUUACAAACUUCACCACCUGCCUUCACAGUAGCAACUGUGUGCACUGUAUAUCAAUUAAAAGAUGCACUGCAAAAAUACAGUAAACCCAUCAGCAUCUUCCAAACCCAUGACCACUACUAUCUCAAAGGAAAAGAGCAAUAGAUAGAUGGGAACACUCAGAAGUUGUUCUCCAAGUCACUUACCAUCCUGACAUGGAAAUAUAUCACUAUUCCUUAACUGUCAUUGAAACAAAAUCCUGGAACUCCCUCCCUAGCAGCAUUGUACCUAUAAUAAAUGAAGUGCAGUGGUUAAGAAAACAGUUUAUCGUCAGCUUUGUAAGAACAAUUAGGGUUGGGAAAUAAAUGGUGGCCCUGCCAGUGAUAUCCAUAUCCCAGGAGUGAAUAAUAAACAAAAAAAAAUUUGGAUGAGAGCAAACGUCUAUGAUGCUGGGGACAUAAGAGAAGGAUAAAUUAAAUCAUCCACUUAGCACUUCCGGCUGAAGAUAGUUGCAGUUCUUUAGUCUUUUUGAGAUGAUAUAUUGGGUUGCUCCAUCAUUAAUAAUGGGGAUAUUUGUAGAGCCUACUUCCCUGGUUAGUUGUUCAAAUUUCCACAAACAUACAUCAUAGCAUCUAAUAGGACUGCAAAUCUGAAAUCUGAUUGAAGAUAGAGAAUUCCAGACAAGAAAAUCAUCUUCAUCUUCAUCUUAAAUGGAAUACAACUUAUUUUGAAAUAGUGUCUAGAUUUCACCAUGAAGGGUGAAAUUCAUCAUCAUUUCAUCACCUACCUUGUAAACAUCUUAGGAUCUUGUAUUUCAAUAGAACCUCCACUAACCCUUAAUGAAGGCAAACAAGCCUUUCCUCAUAAGCAAGUUCCUCAUCAGGAAUCAAACUUCUUCUAAAUGUUUACAGUGCAGUUAAGUCACUUGUCACAACAUGUACCAGGCAUUCCCUCUGAGUAGUCCAUGAACUAAGAAUUUUUACAGAAUAGAUUGACAUAGUAAUUUAUUGUCACGUGUAUUUUUACAAAAAAAAGUCAGAAGUUUUAUAAAUUGCCAUAUCAGUGCCUAAAUUAAUGAAGUCAUAAAUAAGAAGAAGAAAAGUAAAAGUUCAUCAUGGUUCAUUUAUUGCCUUUGGGUUUGGGGUAGCUGGAAAACCAGGCUGAGACCGCCACACCAGGCCAAGACUGCCCCACCAAGCUGAGACGAGACCUCCGUUCGAGGACUAGACUUCCACAGUGGGCCAUUGAAAUACCCAGACCCUGUUUCUGAAGCGAGGAUGAGACCUCCAUGUGGGACUGGACCUUCACAUCAGGCUGCUGGAAUGUCCAGAAACCAUCCAAGAAGACCUCCGUAACAGGACGUGGAAUGCACGCCGGGACAAGAAUGCCAUUCCUGGUCAAGACUGCCAUGCCAGGAGACCGUCACUCUUGGAGACCGUCCCCCGCCAAAGCCAGCCCUAUACCACCAAUCCAGGCCAUUGGAAGCCAUCGUGUCACUGGGCCUGGGCUGGGAGAACAUACCUUCCGCUGAAAUCACUAAAAGAAGAUUUCCAGCAUUCCCAACAUGUUGCAUUUGUACCAGCACUGUAAAACAGAUCAGCAGUUUAAUAACAGCCAAUAAAGUUCUGAAUAACAUUAGGCCCUUCGAGAGAUCGAGCCCAGCAUGGGAGAGAGUGGAUGAUGAUUAGCGGCAAGACAGUAGUGCAGAGGCUUGAGGAUGGAGAGAGAGACCCCGGUACGGGGGAGAGGUCGAGCCCUCAUGGGGAAAGCCCAGCAUGGAGUGACUGCAGGGCCAUGGCAAAAGAAGGACUGUAAUUUGGAACUUAAACUUUAUUUCUUAUCGACUACUUUGUACUGAUAAGAACUGUAAUGUUGAACUUUUAACUUCUUUAUUUUUCUACAUUUUACCAAAGGUUUUGUACUGAGGUACCUUGUACCCAAGGUGGAGACAUGAAUGGUGGCAUUGUAGACUUUUCACAGUACUCUUGCAUCCCUGUACUUGAGUACACUUGACAAUAAAACCUAACUCUUGUAAUCUAAUUCUAUUUCAGUUGAGUUCAGCCACUGAAAAUUAACUUGGGCUAAAAUAUAAGGAAGCUGUUACAUGGCAUGGCCAUGGUUGUGUCAUAAUGAAUGCAAAAUUCGACAUUAUUAAAGUAAGAAUUUGCAUGUUUAUAGAGCCAUUUAUAACCUCAGGACUUAAUAAAGUCUUUCGUGGCCUAUCGAGUAUUGAGAUUGGUAUUCAUACAAAGAAGGACAUCCAAUAACCUUAAUUUCAUCUACAGCAAAGAGAAAAUAGCAAAAUAAAGAUUUGACAUUCCUUAGGCAGUCCUUAGGGCACCUUAGAGCAUUUCAUGGACAACGUUUAUUAUUUUUACCAUUUAUGUUUAGGCAAACAUGACAAGCAAGCAAAUGCACUGUCAGAUAUCACAAAUAAUGAACAGUUCAUGAUUAGGAGGAAAUGUUGGCUGGGACACUGAAGAACUCCAUGUUCUUCUGCAAAUGGUGGUAUUAAUUUUGUUUACGUGAACCUGUACUGGGAGAUAGGCACUUGUUUUUAUGUUUUGCUUGAAAAAAAUCUGACAACGCAAAACUAUUGUAUUGCAUUAAGUUGAUGGCCGAAUUCAUAAAGUAGAAUCAUGCAAUGGCCAUUGAACCAAAUAAAAUGAUCAAUUUUGCACAUUUUGUAAAUGGAAAUAAAAAUCAUUAACUUGCCAGGAGUUUGUCAAAUUACAUUUGGCAUUAAGUAUUUAUAAUUGUCACAAAUCUGGUCCUUUUAUCUAAAAGCUGUUCUUUUUCUCAAGGAUACUGUGUCCUUGGUCUUUUUGAGAGGGGUCGUAAAACAGGGCUCCAAAACAAUUGGUUUGGUACAGAGAUGAAAGGGUUUAUUGAGAGGCCUUUUGUUUACAUGUAAACAGAUGAGACUUCAGGCCA